GUAUCGGCGAAUCGAAGUUGUAGCCACAAGGCUUCUCUUGCUGGAGACUGUAAAGAUGGUUUCCAAACGGUUUCAUUUAGUCGCUCUAGCCAUAUUUUAUCUUUUGUCCCCGUUGCAACUGGCGGGCCCCACAUGUGCGCAAGCAGGUUAUAGCUGGACCGGUUACCACCUUUCAAGGCAGUGGAACAGAACAUCAUCGCGCCAUACUACUCGAACGACUACUCGUACGACUACUCGUACGACUACUAGGCGGCCACCCCCAAGCUGUGGAGGCAAAGUGAAGGGAUGACAAAACUGAAGUUCUUCAAGAUGGUUAACACGGACUGCUGCGCCAGAUAGUUACAGUGCCAAACAAGCAAUAUGUCAAACAUUCUCGUGACGUGACGUUUAGGACACCGUCCAUGGAAAAAAAUGUACCUUUAUAAGUUGCACAAAUUUUGCGCUUGCUUCGCCACAGGUUAGGCGUUUCUACCCAACUUCUAAAAGUGUGGAGAACAAAUAUGUAGAAUAUUCACCCCAUUGCUCUAUCUUCUGGAGGAGAUGAUGUCGCACUAUGGUUCACAAUCUCUUUUUUUCGGAGGAAUUAAUUCCUACAACCAGCGUUCCGUCUCCGCUUAACACCGCAAUGGUUUAGACCAGAGGCGCACGUUCCGGCAGGCAAAGAACAGCCGUGGACGGAUAUGCUACGUAAAGGUAACAAGCUGGGAGUAACAGUUAUCACGAAGAUGCACUAGGGGUUCUAAUAAUGGAGUAAUAAUCUUUAGAAGAUGCAAAUAAAAAAGUAAUUUCA